rnacentral:rRNA from 1 species
UACGAAGGAUCCAAGCGUUGUCCGGAUUUACUGGGUUUAAAGGGUGCGUAGGCGGUCUUUUAAGUCAGUGGUGAAAGCCUGUAGCUUAACUAUAGAAUUGCCAUUGAAACUGAAAGUCUCGAGUGUGGUUGAGGUAACUGGAAUAUAUCAUGUAGCGGUGAAAUGCUUAGAUAUGAUAUAGAACACCAAUUGCGAAGGCAGGUUACUGAGCCACAACUGACGCUGAGGCACGAAAGCGUGGGGAUCAAACAGG